rnacentral:rRNA from 1 species
GACGAACGCUGGCGGCGUGCCUAAUACAUGCAAGUAGAACGCUGAAGGAGGAGCUUGCUUCUCUGGAUGAGUUGCGAACGGGUGAGUAACGCGUAGGUAACCUGCCUGGUAGCGGGGGAUAACUAUUGGAAACGAUAGCUAAUACCGCAUAAGAGUAGAUGUUGCAUGACAUUUGCUUAAAAGGUGCAAUUGCAUCACUACCAGAUGGACCUGCGUUGUAUUAGCUAGUUGGUGGGGUAACGACUCACCAAGGCGACGAUACAUAGCCGACCUGAGAGGGUGAUCGGCCACACUGGGACUGAGACACGGCCCAGACUCCUACGGGAGGCAGCAGUAGGGAAUCUUCGGCAAUGGACGGAAGUCUGACCGAGCAACGCCGCGUGAGUGAAGAAGGUUUUCGGAUCGUAAAGCUCUGUUGUAAGAGAAGAACGAGUGUGAGAGUGGAAAGUUCACACUGUGACGGUAUCUUACCAGAAAGGGACGGCUAACUACGUG